rnacentral:miRNA from 1 species
AUGUUUGACUCACUGGAGAUCUUGUUAAAAACAGAUUUUGAUUCAGUCGCCCAGGGGUAGGGUCCAGGAUUCUGUAUUUCUAACAAGCUCCUAUAUGUUGUGGAU